GCGCAGCAGUCGAGAAUUUUCUCAAUGGGCGAAAGCCUGAAGGAGCGACGCCGCGUGGAGGAUGAAGGCUUUCGGGUUGUAAACUCCUGUCAUUUGAGAACAAGUGUAGCCAAAUAACUACUGGCUACUUGAUAGUAUCAGAAGAGGAAGAGACGGCUAACUCUGUGCCAGCAGCCGCGGUAAUACAGAGGUCUCAAGCGUUGUUCGGAUUCAUUGGGCGUAAAGGGUGCGUAGGUGGCGCGCUAAGUCAGGUGUGAAAUCUCGGGGCUUAACUCCGAAACUGCAUUUGAUACUGGCGUGCUUGAGGACUGGAGAGGAGACUGGAAUUCAUGGUGUAGCAGUGAAAUGCGUAGAGAUCAUGAGGAAGACCGGUGGCGAAGGCGGGUCUCUGGACAGUUCCUGACACUGAGGCACGAAGGCCAGGGGAGCAAACGGGAUUAGAUACCCCUGUAGU
rnacentral:rRNA from 1 species